ACAUCCGCUAAGACCGUCGCAAAGUGCGUUUCCAAUAAAGCAGCCAGCGACAUCGUUUUUAUAGUAAAAAUAAAAAACUCGGGAAAACAGGAAAAACGCGGGAAAAGAGUUUUCCCCCUCUUUGCAAGCCGAGGUUAUAAAACCGGGUUGCGAAGAGGAAAAGGCCUUCUAUUUCUACUACUAUUCCUAGUAUAUCCACUAUCAUAAGUACUACUACGUUUGUUCGCUACUAAGGUGAAAUUAUGUGCAGGGAUCGCUACUUUUCAUUAUUGAAAAUGUUGCAUUUUACGGAUAUAGUCGGUCACACUACUGAUCGUUUAUACAAAAUAAAUGAAGUAGUGGAAAUGUUGCGAACAUCAUUUAACAAUACAUUUCAGCUAUACCAACGAUUAUGUAUAGACGAAAGUCUGCUCUUCUACAAAGGCUGUCUGUCGUUUAAACAGUAUAUUCCUUCGAAAAAGAAGUAGGUUUGGUAUAAAGUCAUUCCUUCUUUGUGAUUGUCAAACAGGUUAUGUACAAGAUAUAAUCAUUUAUUGUGGGGCUAGUACUACUGUAGCUACCGAAUACCAACAUGUUGGAAAGCCAGGGAACAUUGUAAUGUCGCUUUUGCAACCUUUUCUAAACAAAGGCCAUACUGUUUAUCUGGACAACUGGUUUUCCAGUCCCACAUUGUUUAUCCUACUCCACGAAAAAGGUACGAACGCUCGUGCAAAGAAGACGGAAAGAUAUGCCUAAGAUAACUGAUAAAUUGAAAAAAAGGGGAGGCAGUGUUCCGCUCAUCUGAAAAUCUAUUGGCUAUGAAAUGGUCUGAUAGAAAUGAAUUUUAUAUGCUUUCCACUAUUCAUACCGCAGAAUCUGCACAAGUACCUAAAAAGUCAAGAAAAAAUGAAUUUAUUCUAAAGCCGAAAUGCGUAAUAGAUUAUAACAAUUCAAUGGCUGCAAUCGAUAAAUCUGACAUGGUGAUAAAUACUGUUGAUGUAACUCGCAAAAGUUUAAAAUGGUAUCGCAAAUACUUUUUCCACUUGAUAGAUAUUUGCAUGUGGAACGCUUAUUGCCUAUAUAAGGACACAACAAAAAAACAAAUCUCAAUGGCAAAAUUUCACCUUCAGUUGAUUAAGGAAAUAUUACAAGAAUCAUGAAUAUCAUCGGUCAGGAAGUAAUUAUCCCAUAAGGCUCACAGGGAGACAUUUUCCUUCAAUAUACCAUUCGAGGAAAAAAAAUCGAAAACGAAGAUGCGUUAUAUGUGUGGCCGGAGGCGUGAAUCCAUGUAUCAGUGUGAACACUGUAAUGUGGGCUUGUGCGUUUCCUCUUGUUUCGAAAACUAUCACACCAAGUUACACUAUUAGUUUUGUUAUUUAGUUUAAUUUUGUGUAUUAGAACAUAUUAUUUAUAUCAAUGCCAAUUACUUUAAUUAAUGUACCGUGAAGAAAUAGGUUUUAGAUUUUAAAACGAAAGGGUUAAAAAGGACCGGGGAGUGGACUCUCACGGAAUGCAUGAGAUUUUACAGAAAUAAUGAAAAUACAUGGAAAUACGAUUAAAAACUUUAUUUUGGUUUUGCUUCAUAAUUGGGAAAAAUAUAUAUAAUGUUGUGUGUACCUGUAGGAACUUUGGACUACAGAUUAUACCUGGGACAAUUGUCGUUUAGGUAACAUGCUAAUUUAAAAAAAAAGAGAGAGAGAGAAGGAACAAAGAAAAAAUAAACCCAAAACGUGUUAAAUAUGUUACCAACGAACGAGUCGCGAGAGAAAAGAAA